rnacentral:rRNA from 1 species
UGAGCAAUCUGCCCUUCUCAUCGGAAUAAGCGUUGGAAACGACGUCUAAUGCCGAAUACGACCUCCUUUCGCAUGAUCGGAGGUGGAAAGCUCCGGCGGAGAAGGAUGAGCUCGCGGCCUAUCAGCUAGUUGGUGUUGGGUAAUGGCCCACCAAGGCGACGACGGGUAGCCGGCCUGAGAGGGUGACCGGCCACAUUGGAACUGAGACACGGUCCAGACUCCUACGGGAGCAG